GAUGAACGCUGGCGGCGUGCCUAAUACAUGCGAGUCGAGCGAACAGACGAGGAGCUUGCUCCUCUGACGUUAGCGGCGGACGGGUGAGUAACACGUGGAUAACCUACCUAUAAGACUGGGAUAACUUCGGGAAACCGGAGCUAAUACCGGAUAAUAUAUUGAACCGCAUGGUUCAAUAGUGAAAGACGGUUUUGCUGUCACUUAUAGAUGGAUCCGCGCCGCAUUAGCUAGUUGGUAAGGUAACGGCUUACCAAGGCAACGAUGCGUAGCCGACCUGAGAGGGUGAUCGGCCACACUGGAACUGAGACACGGUCCAGACUCCUACGGGAGGCAGCAGUAGGGAAUCUUCCGCAAUGGGCGAAAGCCUGACGGAGCAACGCCGCGUGAGUGAUGAAGGUCUUCUGAUCGUAAAACUCUGUUAUUAGGGAAGAACAAAUGUGUAAGUAACUAUGCACGUCUUGACGGUACCUAAUCAGAAAGCCACGGCUAACUACGUG
rnacentral:rRNA from 1 species